CUGCUAAUAAUUUAGAUGAAAAUUUAACCCGUAUCUUCCCAUCAUAGCGUUUCACUAUAAACUGAUCCAGCCCCAGAUUUUCUGGUUGUUUUUCAUUAGGUGUUAUCGAUCUCACGAAAUCCUGCGGCGUCAUAAAAACCUCAGAUUCACCGUGUUCAUUUAUCACCUUCAAAGUGGCAAAGUAUCGGAAGAUUUUGUCUGGCGUGGAGUAGGCUCUGAUCCGGUUCUCAUAUUCCAUCACCUUACGAUCCCUGAAGCCAGAACACUUCUUCUUCUUCCCCCCUUCUGAGUGAGCCUCCUCACUGCCUGAUGCCACGGCCCUCCUGCCUUCAUCGCCACUGCUCUCCCCCUCCUCCCGGUGCUUCACCUUCUCACCCGGCUCUGCCCUUG
rnacentral:lncRNA from 1 species